rnacentral:rRNA from 1 species
AGAGUUUGAUCAUGGCUCAGAAUGAACGCUGGCGGCGCGCCUAAUACAUGCAAGUUGAGCGAGAAGACGUAGCAAUACGUUUGUAAAGCGGCGAACGGGUGAGGAAUACAUGGGUAACCUACCCUCGAGUGGGGAAUAACUAGCCGAAAGGUUAGCUAAUACCGCGUACGCUCCUUGGACUUCGGUUCAGGGAGGAAAGCGAUACCGUGGGUAUCGCGCUCUUGGUUGGGCUCAUGUCCUAUCAGCUUGUUGGUGAGGUAACGGCUCACCAAGGCUUCGACGGGUAGCUGGUCUGAGAGGACGAUCAGCCACACUGGCACUGCGACACGGGCCAGACUCCUACGGGAGGCAGCAGUAAGGAAUAUUGCGCAAUGGGCGAAAGCCUGACGCAGCGACGCCGCGUGGGGGAUGAAGGUCUUCGGAUUGUAAACCCCUUUCGGGAGGGAAGAUGGAAUGGGGUAACCCAUUCGGACGGUACCUCCAGAAGCAGCCACGGCUAACUUCGUGCCAGCAGCCGCGGUAAUACGAAGGUGGCAAGCGUUAUUCGGAUUUACUGGGCGUACAGGGAGCGUAGGCGGUUCGGUAAGCCCUCUGUGAAAUCUUCAGGCUUAACCUGGAAAAGUCGGAGGGGACUGCCGGGCUAGAGGACGGGAGAGGAGCGCGGAAUUCCCGGUGUAGCGGUGAAAUGCGUAGAGAUCGGGAGGAAGGCCGGUGGCGAAGCGGCGCUCUGGAACGUUUCUGACGCUGAGGCUCGAAAGCGUGGGUAGCAAACAGGAUUAGAUACCCUAGUAGUCC